rnacentral:rRNA from 1 species
UGGGGAAUAUUGCACAAUGGGCGCAAGUCUGAUGCAGCCAUGCCGCGUGUGUGAAGAAGGCCUUCGGGUUGUAAAGCACUUUCAGCGGGGAGGAAGGCGAUAAGGUUAAUAACCUUGUCGAUUGACGUUACCCGCAGAAGAAGCACCGGCUAACUCCGUGCCAGCAGCCGCGGUAAUACGGAGGGUGCAAGCGUUAAUCGGAAUUACUGGGCGUAAAGCGCACGCAGGCGGUCUGUCAAGUCGGAUGUGAAAUCCCCGGGCUCAACCUGGGAACUGCAUUCGAAACUGGCAGGCUAGAGUCUUGUAGAGGGGGGUAGAAUUCCAGGUGUAGCGGUGAAAUGCGUAGAGAUCUGGAGGAAUACCGGUGGCGAAGGCGGCCCCCUGGACGAAGACUGACGCUCAGGUGCGAAAGCGUGGGGAGCAAACAGG